UACGUAGGGGGCGAGCGUUGUCCGGAUUUAUUGGGCGUAAAGAGCUCGUAGGCGGUUCGAUAAGUCGGACGUGAAAUCUCCACGCUCAACGUGGAGGGGCCGUUCGAUACUGUCGUGACUCGAGUCCGGUAGGGGAGUGUGGAAUUCCCGGUGUAGCGGUGAAAUGCGCAGAGAUCGGGAGGAACGACCCGUAGCCGGAAGG
rnacentral:rRNA from 1 species